rnacentral:rRNA from 1 species
CCUACGAGUGGCUGCAGUGAGGAAUAUUGGUCAAUGGGCUUACGCCUGAACCAGCCAAGUCGCGUGAGAGAAGACUGCCCUAUGGGUUGUAAACCUCUUUUGUCAGGGAGCAACGCCGGCUACGUGUAGCCGGACUGAGAGUACAUGAAGAAAAAGCAUCGGCUAACUCCGUGCAAGCAGCCGCGGUAAUACGGAGGAUGCGAGAGUUAUCCGGAUUUAUUGGGUUUCAAGGGUGCGUAGGCGGAAUGCCAAGUCAGCGGUAAAAUCGCGGGGCUCAACCUCGCUCCGCCGUUGAAACUGGCGUUCUUGAGUGGGCGAGAAGUAUGCGGAAUGCGUGGUGUAGCGGUGAAAUGCAUAGAUAUCACACAGAACUCCGAUUGCGAAGGCAGCAUACCGGCGCCCAACUGACGCUGAAGCACGAAAGCGUGGGUAUCGAACAGGAUUAGAUACCCCAGUAGUC